ACCAGAAAUGGAGAUCCAGCAUGUCGAGUCAUAUAUAUGAAGCGUCGUUAGGAUACUCUGUAUCAUGUUGUGAUUUCGUCGUUUCGCCUUCACUGAAUGAAUCUUCAGAGACGGGUUUGAUUUGUCUGGAUUUAAUGCGGUAACGAAACUUCUUAACUCCAUUGACGCCCAUCAUUCAAUGAUACUUAUCUUUGUCAGAGGCGGUGUUUCUCCACUUAUAAAUAGUCAAGCCACACUGUUCUUCCAUGUCGAAGUGAGGCUGCUGAGAUUUUGGGUCGUCAAACGAGGUGGGAGUUGAUGGGAGUGGAUAAGCUUCUCCUUGAUGCGCAGAACUUGACUUUAGAUUCCUUCAAAGUUUUCGAUGAGGGACUACAACCGCGUGGAAUUUUUGAUUCCAAUUCCAGUUCAUGUGAGCUUAGCGGAGGAGAAGCUGAUGAUCUGCAACGAUGACAUAUGGCAGGAGAGUUGAAGAGGGGUUUGGUCAACUCACUCCUUCGAGUUGGCUCGGUGAUCGAGGCAGUCGCAACAGAGACGUUUGAAGCUAUGUCCGUCAUCCACAUCCUCUUCCCAACUCAUAUCUUCGUCGCCGAUUGCACAAACUUAUAACCGCUCUUUGACAUUGAAAACUGCGCCACUUUGUUCAGUGGCCACAAAGUAAGCAUAUACACUCAUCAUACGUAUGGGUGUUAAUCUAUAGUUUUCAUACGUAAAUUAUUUGAUCAAACAUUUUUGUGCAAGUCAAAGCCCUGGCAAGGGGAUUAGGGGAAUAAUCCUCAUUAGUCAUUACAAAUAAAGGUCAAUGUAUUUUCCUUUUGUUUCAUGCAUGUUCAAAAUCUCUCUUUAUACAUACAAGUUUUAUGUCUAAAUGUAGAAGAAUCUACGAGAGCAGAGGAACAUGGGAUCUGAGGGGUCAAAAACUGCAGAUAUGCCAACGAUAGCCACAUAGUACAGCCAUGUGAUGUAAUGGCCAAGCUACAGGUGUCUGCAGAUUUAUUUGAAGAAAAAGAGGAAAAGUCAGAUGAGAAGAGUGAAGAGACAGAUGAGAAGAGUGGACUGAAGAAGUGUCUGAGACUCUUACGAUCCCAUUAACACACUCAAAAACUAAAAGCACAUAAAGUAUGUGUCUUGCUUUCUUUUCUCUUUACUCUAUGAGUUUUUGCUAUUUUUGCGAUUAGGAUUUUAGGUCUAUUGUUAGUGUUCGUUGAGUGGCUUUUUUUCCGAUCCCCUGUAUUGAUGGGAUAGAAACACUCAGUGACUAAGACAACAAUAAUAUAGUCAUCAGCAGUUCAAUUUUAUGUCUGUUACUUUGA